rnacentral:rRNA from 1 species
UACGUAGGGGGCAAGCGUUGUCCGGAAUUACUGGGCGUAAAGCGCGUGUAGGCGGGACGGUAAGUCGGACGUGAAAGGCGCGGGCUCAACCCGCGAGCGCCGUUCGAAACUGCCGUUCUUGAGGGUCGAAGAGGAGAGUGGAAUUCCUGGUGUAGCGGUGAAAUGCGUAGAGAUCAGGAGGAACACCCGUGGCGAAGGCGGCUCUCUGGUCGGCCUCUGACGCUGAGACGCGAAAGCGUGGGGAGCGAACGGG